CCCCCCCCCCCCCCCCCGGCUUUUUAUUUAUCAUAUCUCCAAAUGGCGGUGUAGCUGUUGUGCUGUGGUCAGGAUACAGUGACCUUAGUUGAUCAACUACCCCCCUCGGCAGCCUGAUAACGGGGCUAAUAUAACAGCGAGCGUGCGAGGGGGGAAGGCGGUACUGUAAUUAUUUCUGCGCUGUCAGAGGAGGGAACGGACGCCGGCUCUCUCCACCCCCCUGCCGAUUCAAAUCUGAGGGGAAACUAAAAAGAGGAGGAGGAGGAGGAAGGGCCACACGCCAGUGAGACAAAUAUCAGCGACUGCGGCGACACGACUGAAAUUGGACCAGUUUGUCAUGCACGAGGCCACACACACACACACACACACACACACACACACACACACACACACACACACACACACACACACACACACACACGCGUCUGAGAGGCAGCAAUGCAGCUCAAUUCAAACUUUACUGGUUACACACAUAAUACUCACAGGUAGACGGUCUGAAAAAAAACAGGAGGAAUCAUCAUCACACUCAGUUUUAUAAUAAAUUACAAAAAACACAACAUGAAUUAAUACUUACAUUCAAAUGUUUCACACCAAAGGAAGAAGAACCAACUCAAAGGAAGCUAUUUCAUAUAGAGAGAGAGAGACGGGGGAAAAGCAAGUGAGGUUUGUCGAACAUCGUAAUUGGAAUUUAUUCUUAAACUGAAUAUACACAUUUUCUUAAGGCGUCUAUAACGACAACAAUUAAGGUCUACGGAAUUUCCGUAUGCACCCUAAAGUACAUAUUAGUCUGAAGAUUCAUAUGGUCCACAUUUCUACAAAACAACAAAAUAAUUGAUUGCAUUUUGGCACGAAUUUGGACAAAUGGGCGGUUCCAGGAAUAUUUUUAUUACUUUCUUAAACAUUGUGCGAUUUUUUGACUUUUCCCCAGAAUUCUCAGGGAAUAAUUCAUGGACCUUGAUGGAACAAAAAUCAGGCAUAUUAAUAUGUAGAAGUGCGGCUUGAUUGAAUUCAAGGGGCCUGGCAGGUAUGAGCUCCGCUCAGUGACCUAGAUUAUCAUUAGCAGUAAACGAACCCUGGAUGUUUUCGUAGACUUUCUCUAGAAGCUGGAAACUGCUGAUCGCUGUCAGGAUCCGUUCUUGAUUGGCUGAACACACCCGAGGAAGGAAAUCAUCUGCAGGAAGAGCAGCGACGAGAGGAAACCGAUCACGCUGUGCAACGCUACGACACGAUUCAUACGUAGAAGCAGAAUCUGACGUGUUGUUGUUGUUGUACCUGGCUGAGAAGAUGAACCGGCUCCGACCGGACGACUUCGGGACAAAUUGGACCGAUCUCUUCAAACAAAGACACAAAGACAGGUGGAGCCUCUAGUUUCUGUCGGAGGAAAGGUCAAAGCAGCAGAGAGAAUUAAUUGAAGAGUGAGAGAGCACAGCUGGCUCUGUCAACCAGGCGUGUGUGCGUGUGUGUGUGUGUGUGUUUUAUGAAUCAGAUAACCAUAUAAAGUCCAAGUCCGUAGAGGGAGAAGAAAAAUAAAUCAUUAAAAACAACAAGGUUUUUUUCGCAGCUUGUUCUUAAGUGUUUCUGUUCAUGCAGAUCUGUGUGCGUCUGUCCUUGUAUGUGUGCGCUCAUAUAUAUUUGUGUAUUUUUGUUUACCGUUUACAUAAUUUCCUCAUAUUCAGUAUUUAUUUAGACACAGGACAGACGACACUGUGGCUCCAGACGUCCUUCACACGUCACCUUUAACGUCAGGUUUAAAUGUUUCCCUCAUUAAAAUGGUUCAGUCAUCUCAUAAGUUAAUACAUCUAUUAGUGAGGUUGUCAUCAGUGACCGUAUCUUCUCACCCACCUGCAUGUAACUGACCAGAGACCAGUUUUUCCUCUUGGAUCACGUUGUAACUAUGAAUCUGUUUGACUUCAAAAGAUUUUUUUAAAUGGGGCCAAGGUUAAAAAAUAAAAGAAUUCUUCUUUAACUACGAUAUAUUUUAUAGAAACACAAGGUCAUAAAAAUAAUAUAUCCACCACAGAUUAAACGACCGAAACCUUUAAAUAAUAUUGAAAACUUUUUGUGAGUGAUCUGAAAAUCUAUUUCAAAUUCAUGUGGGUGGAAUAUUUGCUUUGCAUCUCUAGGAAAGUGUGUGUGUGUGUGUGUCUUUGUGUUUUAAAUAUAUAUUUUAUUUAGUUCAUAUAUACAGUUUAACAGUUGUAGUUAAUUUGCAGAUUAUAGACUCAAAACAUUUGUCCAUUUUCUGAAAUAAAACAUUUAUACACUGAAAUAUUAAACUGUACAUGUAUAUAUAAUAAACUAGUUAAAAUUAGCUCCACUUUAAAAAGCAGGUAAUAAUAAAUCAAUAAAAAAGUACUUAAUUAACUCAUUUAAUUCUCAGUUUUACUUUUUAUACUUUAAUUCUCUUGACCUGUAACUUAGUAUUUUUUAGUGUCAUUUUAUAUAGUAAUAUCUGUGUGCUUAUGUGUGUGUAUACUCUGUGUUUGUGUGUGUGCUGUUGAUUGUGUGUGUUUGUGUGU